rnacentral:rRNA from 1 species
AAGUCGUAACAAGGUUUCCGUAGAUGAACCUGCGGAAGGAUCAUUA